rnacentral:rRNA from 1 species
GUGGUAAUGCCGGAUGCUCCAUCACACCGCAUGGUGUGUUGGGAAAGCCUUUGCGGCAUGGGAUGGGGUCGCGUCCUAUCAGCUUGAUGGCGGGGUAACGGCCCACCAUGGCUUCGACGGGUAGCCGGCCUGAGAGGGCGACCGGCCACAUUGGGACUGAGAUACGGCCCAGACUCCUACGGGAGGCAGCAGUGGGGAAUAUUGCACAAUGGGCGCAAGCCUGAUGCAGCGACGCCGCGUGAGGGAUGGAGGCCUUCGGGUUGUAAACCUCUUUUGUUAGGGAGCAAGGCACUUUGUGUUGAGUGUACCUUUCGAAUAAGCACCGGCUAACUACGUGCCAGCAGCCGCGGUAAUACGUAGGGUGCAAGCGUUAUCCGGAAUUAUUGGGCGUAAAGGGCUCGUAGGCGGUUCGUCGCGUCCGGUGUGAAAGUCCAUCGCUUAACGGUGGAUCCGCGCCGGGUACGGGCGGGCUUGAGUGCGGUAGGGGAGACUGGAAUUCCCGGUGUAACGGUGGAAUGUGUAGAUA